rnacentral:rRNA from 1 species
AUACGGAGGGUGCAAGCGUUAAUCGGAAUUACUGGGUGUAAAGCGUACGUAGGCGGUUCGUUAAGUUAGAUGUGAAAGCCCCGGGCUUAACCUGGGAACUGCAUUUAAAACUGGCGGACUAGAGUUGAGUAGAGGGGAGUGGAAUUUCAGGUGUAGCGGUGAAAUGCGUAGAGAUCUGAAGGAACACCAGUGGCGAAGGCGACUCCCUGGACUCGAACUGACGCUGAGGUACGAAAGCGUGGGUAGCAAACGGGAUUAGAAACCCCGGUAGUCC